UGAACUGAAUGUGAUAUUCAUGGUACGUUCAUGCCAAAGGGCAGCCAAUUAGCCCAUCAUGUCUGUUCCAGUCAGUGAAAAGGCUGCUCAGUACUUCAGUCUUCCAACACUGGGCGUGAUGACUUUGAGGGGGAUUGUGGCAUCUUGUAG